rnacentral:rRNA from 1 species
GACGAACGCUGGCGGCGUGCUUAACACAUGCCAGUCGAACGGAAAGGUCCUGCUUUUGUGGGGUGCUCGAGUGGCGAACGGGUGAGUAACACGUGAGUAACCUGCCCUUGACUUUGGGAUAACUUCAGGAAACUGGGGCUAAUACCGGAUAGGAGCUCCUGCUGCAUGGUGGGGGUUGGAAAGUUUCGGCGGUUGGGGAUGGACUCGCGGCUUAUCAGCUUGUUGGUGGGGUAGUGGCUGACCAAGACUUUGACGGAUAGCCGGACUGAGAGGGUGACCGGCCACAAUGGGAAUGAGAUACGACACAGACUCCAACGGGAGGCAGCAGUGGGGAAUAUUGCACAAUGGGCGGAGGCCUGAUGCAGCAACGCCGCGUGCGGGAUGACGGCCUUAGGGUUGUAAACCGCUUUCGCCUGUGACGAAGCGUGAGUGACGGUAAUGGGUAAGGAAGCACCGGCUAAAUACGUG